GAAGCACCGGCUAACUCCGUGCCAGCAGCCCGCGGUAAUACGGAGGGUGCGAGCGUUAAUCGGAAUUACUGGGCGUAAAGCGCAUGCAGGUGGUUUGUUAAGUCAGAUGUGAAAGCCCGGGGCUCAACCUCGGAAUUGCAUUUGAAACUGGCAGACUAGAGUACUGUAGAGGGGGGUAGAAUUUCAGGUGUAGCGGUGAAAUGCGUAGAGAUCUGAAGGAAUACCGGUGGCGAAGGCGGCCCCCUGGACAGAUACUGACACUCAGAUGCGAAAGCGUGGGGAGCAAACAGGAUUAGAUACCCUGGUAGUCCACGCCGUAAACGAUGUCUACUUGGAGGUUGUGGCCUUGAGCCGUGGCUUUCGGAGCUAACGCGUUAAGUAGACCGCCUGGGGAGUACGGUCGCAAGAUUAAAACUCAAAUGAAUUGACGGGGGCCCGCACAAGCGGUGGAGCAUGUGGUUUAAUUCGAUGCAACGCGAAGAACCUUACCUACUCUUGACAUCCAGAGAACUUUCCAGAGAUGGAUUGGUGCCUUCGGGAACUCUGAGACAGGUGCUGCAUGGCUGUCGUCAGCUCGUGUUGUGAAAUGUUGGGUUAAGUCCCGCAACGAGCGCAACCCUUAUCCUUGUUUGCCAGCGAGUAAUGUCGGGAACUCCAGGGAGACUGCCGGUGAUAAACCGGAGGAAGGUGGGGACGACGUCAAGUCAUCAUGGCCCUUACGAGUAGGGCUACACACGUGCUACAAUGGCGCAUACAGAGGGCAGCCAACUUGCGAAAGUGAGCGAAUCCCAAAAAGUGCGUCGUAGUCCGGAUUGGAGUCUGCAACUCGACUCCAUGAAGUCGGAAUCGCUAGUAAUCGUGGAUCAGAAUGCCACGGUGAAUACGUUCCCGGGCCUUGUACACACCGCCCGUCACACCAUGGGAGUGGGCUGCAAAAGAAGUAGGUAGUUUAACCUUCGGGGGACGCUUACCACUUUGUGGUUCAUGACUGGGGUGAAGUCGUAACAAGGUAGCGCUAGGGGAACCUGGCGCUGGAUCACCU
rnacentral:rRNA from 1 species